AACGAACGCUGGCGGCGCGCCUAACACAUGCAAGUCGAACGGACACAUCAGUACCUUGCUUUUCUUGGCUUGGUAGCGGAGGGGUGAGUAACGCGUGUGUGACCUACUCUGGGGUGGGGGACAACAAUAGGGCACAAGUGCUAAUACCGCAUAAGCUCUCGGAUCCGCAUGGGCCUGCGGGAAAAGGGUUUGUUCGCGUCAGGAUGGACUCGCGUCCAAUUAGCUAGUUGGUGGGGUAACGGCCCACCAAGGCGACGAUUGGUAGCCGGACUGAGAGGUUGAACGGCCACAUUGGGACUGAGACACGGCCCAGACUCCUACGGGAGGCAGCAGUGGGGGAUAUUGCACAAUGGGGGAAACCCUGAUGCAGCGACGCCGCGUGGAGGAAGAAGGUUUUCGGAUUGUAAACUCCUGUCGUUAGGGACGAUAAUGACGGUACCUAACAAGAAAGCACCGGCUAACUACGUG
rnacentral:rRNA from 1 species